AUUUCGAAACUCAUAACAAGAGAUCAACCAAUGAAAAUAAAGUCAGUGAACUACUUCUGGGGGCUGUACAUGUACCACAAAAAGUAAUCCAUAGCUUUUUCUGUUUUAUAUCAGAGUAAUUAAUCUUCAAAAUUUAUGAGUAUGUGAUUGAAUGGAAUAAAAUCUUCCUCUAGUACAAAAAUAUUUUAACAUCAUAGAUGUAUCAUUACCUUCAUUAGCUGACUGUAAAUGGCACAUUUGCCCAAGGAUAUCAAAAUUUCAAAUCUACACAGGAAGUUCUUUGACAGAGAGCAGAAUAGAGUAAAUAUUUGGGAGAGUGUUUCCCUAAAUAUUUUACUAUAUGCAGCUUAUUUCAUCUUGGAAGUUAACAAUAAUUAACAGAAUGCACCAGGUAUAGCAUCAUAUGUGUAUAUAAAGUAUCAGCACACAUGAAUGAAUUGAGACAUGUUUAGUGACCCUAUGUAUUGUGUUCAAAGGCUCCAUCCAACCGUUCAAAGACACGUCAUAGCAGUGGAGCAAAUGGUGGCAAAUGAUGGCCUUGUGGUGGUUAGUGAAAAACUGGCAAUCUACAUUGGUGGUGGCAAACAUUGACAGAAAAUUUCUGGACCAGCAGUGACAUUAAGUUGAAAAUAAUGACAUAUUUUACACUGUAUUGAAGAUGUAAUUGCGAAAAUUAUUUAAUAAAAAACGUUAUGGCUAUCAGUGGAAAACAUCGAUAUACUAUAAUAAGAGUGGAACUGACAUUUUAACACUAUUGUUUGAACAUUAUAUAUCACCUAGUUCAAAAUUCAUAAGCAUUUUUGUUAUACUAUAGACUUGAAAAACAUAGUUAUUUAAAGACCUAAAUAAUAUCGUUAUUGUUCUAAAUUAGUUAAAAUGCUGACUAAUUUAAGAACAAUCAAAAUAAAAGGUUGAUUUACA